AGUCGCUUUACAAGUAACGGCAACAAUAGUCAGAAACAUGAGAGUAUUCGUUGCGAAAUCAUCGAUAUUAUCGACAACAAGAAUGAUAUCCAGGAAUUGAGUUAUCAUCAAAAAGUAUAACAAGCCUACUACUAUAAAGUGCACGUUUAUUUUCCGUUUACGCGAACAGCGUAAUAACAGCUGUAUAGUAUGCAACGGUCGUCUUACUUGAUCAAGGGGUGCAUUUACCCUUGUAAACACGUUGUCAUAUUCCCAUCGAAUGAAAUGUUUCUUCCCAUUCACGUCAGAAAAGUCAUGGCAACAAUUCAGUGAAUAAGAAAAACUAUAUGUAAUUACUGUUUGUCUGCUUACCGAGUACGAAGAGCGCUGGCAGAACACAUCGACUCUUGCAUACCUUCAGUAUCUGACAGAUGUAGAAUAUCUCAUGGAAAUAGUACUGUUCUUCUUUUAUUUUUCUUUUUAACCGAAUUAAUCCUUAAGCGGGCGCACCUUCUGGCCGAAUGUUAAUGGACGCGCGCGGCACUGCGUGCCGCAUCACAAAUUUAUUAUUCAAAAAUUAUAAUAAUUGGAUAAAUAAUUGUAAAAUUAUCAUGAAAGCAAGUAAAAUAUAUUUGCGUUAAAAUAUAAUAUUAAAAUUUAAAUAUAAUAUUGAAACUUUGUGUCUAUUUUCUCUUAUGAAAUUAAUUCGGUUAGACGUAACUAAAAAAUUAAAAAUAAGAUAAUUGUUUAAAAAUGAAGACACUUAUUUAAAAUCAAGCGUAGAAAAGUAAUAACAGUAACAGUGCUGUUACUGUUAUUAUGAUGAAAAAUAAAGUUUUUAAAACUUUUAAAAAAAUAACAACAAUAAUUAUAAAUAAUCAAAGUUAUUUUCCUUUAUAUAUCUAAGUACUUAGAAUCUUUUUGAGACUUAUAACAGGAAAAGGGAAAGGUUUGUCUAGGAUGUCUCUAAAAUAGUUUCUAUUUGUUUUGUAUGGGCUGUUUAUCUGUAACACAACCUAAUGUAACCCAACUUUAACCCAAUUUAUUCAAAAUUAGCGCUGGCAAAAAAGAGAUAUUAAACAGCAAUGCGAGUAAAAACAAUUUAAAAUGUAGGAAACAAACAUUUCGUAUUAUUACAAUUAUUUAUAUAAACAAGAUUUUACUUACAUUUUGAGGCGCACGCGGCAUUUCGUGCCGCAAAACGGUGUCUUAAUGUUCUCAAAACGGAUAAAAAGUUAAUUACUUGAUAGGAAAAAUGCAACAACUACUCUAUUUUAUGGUUGAGAUGUUGAAUGAGGAAUACAGAAGGUCGGUAAUAGAAGUAGAGAAGUUUGAAUCAAUUGAAUAAAAAUAUAUAGCAUGUAGAAACACAAAAAUUUUUAAUGUACUUAAUUGCUUUAUCGUCAACUAAGAUGUAUAAUCAUAGCGCUAUGUCUUUCGUAGCAUCAAAUUAUAUACAGGACAUUAAAAAGUCAAUAUAAGAAGAGUUUGAAAAUUUUACAAAUCCAAACUUUUUUUUUUUUAAAUGACAAUGUACGUGUCUGCGUCUUGUAUUUGAAAUAUCUCGAGAAUGUAAAGAAAAGUGUCCAAGACAAAUUUUAGAGGUUUUAUGCACAAUGUUCAUAUCAGUAAUUGCGUUUAUUUAUUUUACAAUGAACGGUUUAUUUGUUGUGUGAUAUACAUAUUGCGAAGGAAUGAAUGAAGUCUCAAAAUUGUUGCAGAACAUUAAAUGCGGAGAAAGUCGCUCUUAGAAGCUGUAAAAUAAAAUAAGAAUUUAUUAAAAAUUAAGCGUCAUACUUGUAAGUAAUAUCAUAGACAAGUUUUCAGUUCAAAUACUAACAUUGGUAUAAGAUUCCAGGGAUAAUGUCACUAAAAAACUGCUGGUAAAUUUAAUGGGUUUUGAGCUACGCUUCAUAAUCAUCAUUAAAUCCUUUCGUUCGUUGAGUGUCAUCGACAUCCAGUUCAUGUGAUAUACCGCUUCGCCCAAUUCAGAACUCUACGCAAAUAAAACUGAUCAAAAUGAGUGGAAAAAUAGUGAAAAAAGCAUAAUGGCAAAAAUCUUGCACGGUUUUCGUUUUGCUAUAAUAUUAUUUUUCUUUUAUCCAAAUAUAUUUCUCUUUAUAGCAGCCAUAACUUAUACCUUGAUUAUAACUUGGUUUCCAGACCAGCAAUAAAUAAAAAUUUGUAUAAACAUGCUGACUGUGAAGACGACCCAGGUACUGACGUCUACAACUGUCAAAUGAGAAGACAGGUGGUACACAAUCGAACACAAUACCAAAACACUGACGAAAAAUUGAAUGAAGAUCACUUGACUGUACACAUUGUUGAACUUUUCGGCAAGUCUACAAAUGUUUAUACAUCUUAUCACAAAUAACAUGUAUUACAAUCAAUAAUGUAUUACAAAUAUAUAGUUGAAAAAUGAAAUUGUUAACAUACUUUGUACAAUCAUGUACAGAGCACACGUACUUAUACAUGUAAAGAGCAUUAUUCAAUCGAUUAUUUAAUAAAAAAAAAGGUACAGAUACAUAUAAA